rnacentral:lncRNA from 1 species
GGAGCACCAGAAGGAGGGACAACACGCAGCUUGGAUGCCCUGUAUGGAGGCUUAAGUGCUGAAAAUCGACGUCCAAAGCCCGGGUGCCCAUUCUGCACGCUUGAGCGUGGAGCCCCGAGGCUUGGGCACCCCUUCUAAAGGCUCAAGCCCUACAUGUGGACCGUCCACCGCCCGGACGCCUUAAGUUAGGCGCUUGAGCGUCAUGCGUCGUGGAUAAAGCCCAAUUUCUGCUCAAUUUUGACUUUGUUGGACCAGGACCUGUUUCGACUCUAUCUA